rnacentral:rRNA from 1 species
CAAUAGCGUAUAUUAAAGUUGUUGCAGUUAAAAAGCUCGUAGUUGGAUUUCUGGUGGGAGCGAUCGGUCUGGCGCUUAGCGCGAGUACUUGCAUCGUCUCCGGCCAUCCUUGGGGAGAGUCUGUCUGGCAUUAAGUUGUCGGGCAGAGGAUCCUCAUCGUUUACUGUGAAAAAAUUAGAGUGUUCAAAGCAGGCUUAUGCCGUUGAAUAUAUUAGCAGGGAAUAAUAAGAUAGGACUUUGGUACUAUUUUGUUGGUUUGCGCACCAAAGUAAUGAUUAAUAGGGACAGUUGGGGGUAUUCGUAUUCCGUUGUCAGAGGUGAAAUUCUUGGAUUUACGGAAGACGAACUACUGCGAAAGCAUUUACCAAGGAUGUUUUCAUUAA